UACGUAGGGGGCAAGCGUUGUCCGGAUUUAUUGGGCGUAAAGAGCGUGUAGGCGGCCUGACAAGUCUGCUGUGAAAACUCGAGGCUCAACCUCGAGAUGUCGGCGGAAACUGUCUGGCUAGAGUCCGGAAGAGGAGAGUGGAAUUCCUGGUGUAGCGGUGAAAUGCGCAGAUAUCAGGGAGAACACCUAUGGCGAAGGCAGCUCUCUGGGACGGUACUGACGCUGAGACGCGAAAGCGUGGGGAGCGAACAGG
rnacentral:rRNA from 1 species